AAGUCGUAACAAGGUCUCCGUUGGUGAACCAGCGGAGGGAUCAUUACAGAGUUGAAAGACUCCCCAAACCAUCGCGAACGUUACCCUUAACCGUUGCUUCGGCGGGCGGUCUCCUUCAACCCCCCACGGGUUGGGAAACCCCUCGGCCCCCCUUUCGCGGGGGGGGGGCGCCCGCCGGAGGUCACGCAAACUCUUGAUACCUGAACGGCCUCUCUGAGUAUUCUGUACUGAAUUAAGUCAAAACUUUCAACAACGGAUCUCUUGGUUCUG
rnacentral:misc_RNA from 1 species